AUCGCUUCUCGGCCUUUUGGCUAAGAUCAAGUGUAGUAUUUAUUUUUAUUUAUUUGAAAGAGAGCCGUG
rnacentral:snRNA from 1 species